AAGAGAUCGAUGUAUGUUAAGUGUAUUAGUAUCAAUUAUGCUUUAUGAAUGCUGAGUCAUUUGUGCUAAACAACAAUUCCUUUUCUAAUUUCUUUCCUUUUUGAAGUUUGGCAUUUUCACAUGCCCAGAAGUCUUUUGAAUUCCUAUAAACCAGCAUAAUGGCAUUAACAGCUGUCAGAUGAUAUUUUGUCCAAAAGAUGCCAGCAACUAAUCAGUGUGGCCGAGCCAUGACUCUGAGACGUCGGCCUGGGGGUUUUGUGAGGGCCCCUGGUGAUACACCAUAUUAAGGGCCACAGUGGCCCUAUUUGAUACACGUCGCCCCAUCAAACACAGGCAUAGACUCACUCUGAUCAGAAGCCAAAGGUGCUGGGUCAUCUUUAACACAGGGUUGAGCCUGUCUCCAAUGAAACAUCCCAGAGUUACAGUCAGAGCACUGGCUUUGAGUCCUCUUAUAGGAAAGAGCGGUUCCCAACGCCACCAAUUUGGUGCACUUCUUCAGCGAAAUAAAGGUUUUGGAGUCAGUCACAGUGUCUUUAAGCUACGAGUGAAACGCGAACAGCAGCCCUUCACCGGCUCAGAUUUCGGCAACACACUGGCACACGGUGAAAAGUAAAUUACAGAGAACGGUUGAAUACACUUAAAUUAACA